UCUUCUUGGAAGAUGGGCUUUUUGCAGACAAAUCCACACAUGCACACAAAAUUUAUCUUCUCUCUCUCUCUUGAAAGUUGAAAGAAACCCCAUUUUGUUACGCCAUCAGAGGCUUCCUACUGGAAUUUUGAACUGUUCAUAAUCUAUCUUCUUUUUGAUGUUCUGUCUUGAGCCCUGAUCUUGUGCCCAAGAAAAAAGUUUAGUAUUUUUUUCCUGGGAAAACCCCCACUGCACGUUAUCUCACGGCCAAAAUGUCUCAACCUUUUCUUGCUUCUUGGUCGGGUUUUCUUGAGAUGGGUUUCUCGGAAUUCGUUUCUUCUUGACGCGGUCCUCCUUUCGGUGAGAGAAAUAAUUGUCGCUGAUUACACGUAGCGUUUUGGUUGAUUUGCUACUAGGUUUUGGUCCUUGUUACCGGAAUUCCUUUUCUCAAGGAUGGGUUUUGCCCAAUAUUACUGCGUCAAGACCCACAGUUUCAAAUGUCUGGGGUACCCAUUUCACCAUUUCCACCAAGAAUUACGCAUCUGUAACCCUUUGGUACCAAUCAUUCUCUGUUUCUUUUAGUAUUUUUCUCAAGCACCUUGGCUGCACUUGAAUUUCUUGGUUUUGGUCCUUAAAGCUUGCCUCUUUAGCCAUGGGCUGUGUCAACAGUAGGUGCUGUAGCCGGUACCCACUGUCAUCGGACGGCGAUUCCCGACAGUACCGCGAAGUGGGUCCGUACAGUCUGCAAGGCAAACACAUACUCACCCAGAGAUCCCUGGAGUCUGUACCUGUUCCUUCACACAAUUUCCAUUUGGAGUACUCGGUUCUCACGCAGCGUGGUUACUACCCGGACUCGCCGGAUAAGGAAAACCAAGACAGUUUCUGCAUUAGGACGCAGAUUCAAGGUAACCCAAAUAUCCAUUUCUUUGGUGUAUUUGAUGGGCAUGGUCAAUUUGGCACACAGUGUUCGAAUUUCGUCAAGGAUAGGUUGGUAGAUAUACUAGCUAAUGACACUGCACUGUUGGAUGACCCUGUUAAAGCUUUUAACUCUGCGUUUUCGGCGACAAAUUAUGAGUUACGUAAUAGUGAGAUUGAUGAUUCAAUGAGUGGUACUACGGCCAUUACAGUACUCGUUGUUGGGGAUACCCUUUUCGUAGCAAAUGUGGGUGAUUCCAGGGCAGUGAUUGCAGUGAAGGAUGGGAAUCAAAUUGUUGCUGAGGACUUAUCGUAUGAUCAGACGCCAUUUAGGAGAGAUGAGUGUGAGAGAGUGAAGCUUUGUGGGGCGAGGGUUUUGAGUGUUGAUCAAGUAGAAGGGCUUAAGGAUCCGAAUAUUCAGACGUGGGGCAACGAAGAGUCUCAAGGCGGCGAUCCUCCGAGGUUGUGGGUUCAGAAUGGGAUGUAUCCAGGGACUGCGUUUACGAGGAGCGUGGGAGAUAGUACAGCUGAGAAGAUUGGUGUAAUUGCUGUACCGGAGGUGUCGAUGGUUCAGCUUACAGCUAAUCAUCUUUUCUUUGUUGUUGCAAGCGAUGGGGUCUUCGAAUUCCUCUCAAGCCAAGCAGUUGUUAAUAUGGUGGCAAGUAAUUCAGAUCCCCGGGAUGCGUGUGGUUCUAUUGCUGGAGAAUCAUAUAAAAUAUGGUUGGAACACGAAAACCGGACAGAUGAUAUUACAAUCAUUAUUGUCCACAUCAAAGGUUUUUCUAAUUCAGGUGGUGGUACUACAGAUGGACCAAGUGGAACCAAUGUUAGGCGAAUGAUAUCCAGAAGAGGAACUUCUGAGGUAUCCGUUACCCCUGGAUCAGAACUUUACCUUUCAGCCAAGAGCGACUUCUCAGACCUACAUUCUUGUCAGCAUGUGGUUUCAAUAAAUCGAAGCCCAUUGGAAUUGUGAUAAGACUCACAGGCCUUCAGGAAGCUGCCUAACGUCUCCCUGUAUUUUUCUCUAGAGGAUAUAUAGGUUUAGGUGUGCAUUCUACGGGGAGCAGAAGCAAUCUGUUCUGCAUAUACAGGAUAUACUCUACUUGCUCACUAAUCUCCAGGAUGUUCGUUCAGGAGAACAAAAUGCUCUCCCUCCGGUUGUUGUUUCACCUGCUAACCCUAAAUUAUGAAGCAAAUGUUAAUAAAAUUUGAAUAGAUUCAAGUAGGUUCAGUCAGGAGGUUGGGAUGUGAUGAUGGGAAAGUGCAAGGGAAGAAGAAGAUAUAUUAUGGGGUGAUUAGCUGAUGAACUCCAUUGACAUCCUUUGUAUCUUCAGUGUUUACUCGAAUGGAAAAUGUAACAUUGUUAAUUGCAUUCUCUUUAUGUAUAAAAUUUCAGUAUUUACACGUUUUC